rnacentral:misc_RNA from 1 species
UAUUCAAAGCGCGUUUUUUACUGUAGGCAC